GACGAACGCUGGCGGCGUGCUUAACACAUGCAAGUCGAGCGGUAAGGCCCUUUCGGGGGUACACGAGCGGCGAACGGGUGAGUAACACGUGGGUGACCUGCCCUCAGCUCUGGGAUAAGCCUGGGAAACUGGGUCUAAUACCGGAUAUGACCUUUCCUCGCAUGGGGUUUGGUGGAAAGUCCUGGGCUUGAUUGUCUGGGUUCGGCUGGGGAUGGGCCCGCGGCCUAUCAGCUUGUUGGGUGGGGG
rnacentral:rRNA from 1 species